GCAGAUUCGCAGCGGUAAGCCGCGCAGGAAGCUGUGUGCGCUCCAAAGUCUCUGAGCUCUGAAGCAUCCCAAGAAUCAAAGCUUUGGUCUUGGCGUGCAGUGACUCAGGAGUGGAUGGUACCCAAAGAUUGGAUUCCUAAAGAGAAAAUGACUGGGCCAAAGACUAUGAAAGUUUUCCAGGUUCAAGAGGCAUAUGGCUCAAUUUCCCUCCCAGUGGUGAUUUUAAUACAACACUUAAAAAAAAGUCCUCCCAAAAGAUUUGUUUCUUCUUACCUGCCUGGAAUGAAAAUUUUAAGUCAGCCUCCAGAUGAUCACAAUUUGGCAGACAUGAUCAGGGUAAGAACUGCCCUCAGCACCCAUACUACUCUGGCUUCUUAUGUUUUCUUGGUUUGGGGCUCCAAUGAAUUCUUUUCUUUCUUGUGA
rnacentral:lncRNA from 1 species